AUAAUUGAAGAGUUUGAUCCUGGCUCACAGUGAACGCUGGCGGCGUGGCUAAGGCAUGCAAGUCGCACGGGGUAGCAAUACCCAGUGGCGCAAGGGUG
rnacentral:rRNA from 2 species